rnacentral:rRNA from 1 species
UACGUAGGGUGCAAGCGUUGUCCGGAAUUAUUGGGCGUAAAGGGCUCGUAGGCGGUCCAUCGCGUCGACUGUGAAAUCCCGCGGCUCAACUGCGGGUCUGCAGUCGAUACGGGCAGGCUAGAGUUCGGUAGGGGAGACUGGAAUUCCUGGUGUAGCAGUGAAAAUGCGUAGAUAUCAGGAGGAAAUACCCGAUGGCGAAGGCAGGUCUCUGGGCUAGAACUGACGCUCAUGCACGAAAGCGUGGGGAGCAAACAGG